AUUUCUGCUUAGCGGUGCAUUUUGUAAGCGCCAUAAAAUAUCCAGAACGAAGGCUAAGCCGUGCGGGCACGACUGACUGGGAAGCGCCCGAUCCAGAGGGAACACCUCUCUGGAGCAGUGGUUCAGUCUAAGAGCAACCAACUCGCAAGAUCAAACUGGAAGUUUCAAAGCAAACAAGGAGGGAGGGGACGCUGCACCCUGCAGAGCCGGGGGCUGGGCCAGCCCCAGGGUAAGGGAGCUGAGGGAACUGCUUCAGGCUCCAGUGUGUACCUGCUGAAAUGAUCGACAGCUGAGAAGCCUUCGUCGGGGCCUGGUGGUGGAGUGCUUCGGAGGGGGAUUCCAGUGUGAGUUGUUGUACCACUCGCAUACGCUGGGCAAUACUUUGCUCUGGUCCCUGCAAAGAAAGUCAGACCUCCAGCAGGCAUGUUAGAAUUUAGAAGAACAGACAUCCUUGGCAGAGAUUCAG